CUUAUCAAGAGUGGCGGAGGGAACAGGCCCGAUGAUGCCCGGCAACCUAACAUUAUCGGUUAAGGUGCUAAGUCCUGCGGAGAUUUCCGGAAGAUGAGG
rnacentral:ncRNA from 1 species